AUUGAACGCUGGCGGCAUGCCUUACACAUGCAAGUCGAACGGUAACGGGCCUUCGGGUGCCGACGAGUGGCGAACGGGUGAGUAAUACAUCGGAACGUGCCCGAUCGUGGGGGGUAACGAGGCGAAAGCUUUGCUAAUACCGCAUACGAUCUACGGAUGAAAGCAGGGGACCGCAAGGCCUUGCGCGGACGGAGCGGCCGAUGGCAGAUUAGGUAGUUGGUGGGAUAAAAGCUUACCAAGCCGACGAUCUGUAGCUGGUCUGAGAGGAUGAUCAGCCACACUGGGACUGAGACACGGCCCAGACUCCUACGGGAGGCAGCAGUGGGGAAUUUUGGACAAUGGGCGAAAGCCUGAUCCAGCCAUGCCGCGUGCAGGAUGAAGGCCUUCGGGUUGUAAACUGCUUUUGUACGGAACGAAAAGCCUUCUUUUAAUACAGGAGGGUCAUGACGGUACCGUAAGAAUAAGCACCGGCUAACUACGUG
rnacentral:rRNA from 1 species